AAUAACCAGAGGUGCGGGUUACCGCUGAGAUGGCCGGAAAGCCGGCCGAACUCUUAACACUUGAUCCGGGUAAUACCGGCGUAAGGAGGUAGAAUAU
rnacentral:ncRNA from 1 species